UAACAGCUCAAAUUUGAAAUCUGGCUCCCUGCGGAGUCCGAGUUGUAAUUUGUAGAAGAUGCUUUGGGUGCGUGGCCCGGCCUAAGUUCCUUGGAACAGGACGUCGUAGAGGGUGAGAAUCCCGUAUGCGGCCGGGGCGCCUGCCCGUGUAAAGCUCUUUCGACGAGUCGAGUUGUUUGGGAAUGCAGCUCAAAAUGGGUGGUAAAUUUCAUCUAAAGCUAAAUAUGGGCCAGAGACCGAUAGCGCACAAGUAGAGUGAUCGAAAGAUGAAAAGCACUUUGGAAAGAGAGUUAAACAGUACGUGAAAUUGUUGAAAGGGAAGCGCUUGCAACCAGACUUGGGCGUCGCUGAUCAUCCAAAGUUUUCUUUGGUGCACUCGGCGAGGCACAGGCCAGCAUCGGUUGGGGUGGUGGGAGAAAGGUCGUGGGAACGUAGCUCCUUUCGGGGAGUGUUAUAGCCUGCGGCGCAAUACCACCUACUCCGACCGAGGACCGCGCUUCGGCUAGGAUGCUGGCGUAAUGGUUGUAAGCGACCCGUCUUGAAACACGGACCAAGGAGUCUAACAUCUAUGCGAGUGUUUGGGUGCAAAACCCAUACGCGUAAUGAAAGUGAACGUAGGUGAGAACCCUUCGAGGGGGCAUCAUCGACCGAUCCUGAUGUCUUCGGAUGGAUUUGAGUA
rnacentral:rRNA from 1 species